UGUGAGAAAGAGGACUAAAAAACUUAUUGUGGUCUUGAGUUAUCAGAGUUUUGCCCCCAGAGAACAUCGCCUCUUCUGGCGUCUCGUCCGCCACCGCGCCCCUUCCUCCGUCUUUUCUUCUUUUCUUUCUCCGGGUCAAAAGCAAGCGCAAGUCGAUGACACAGAGGUGCGAAUAGGAGGACAACGAAGAAGACGAGCAUUGAUAGUGAAAAUCAAGAUUAUGAUGCCGAACCAGACUUACAUCCGCAUGGGUAGCAUCGGCAUCGGUGGUAGCUGCACCUCGAUAACGAACGGCGGAAGCGGGACACCGUCGCCGCCGGCUUUGCCGAGGAGGUCUACGAGGAUGCACCGGCGGGAGACGAAGGAUGGUAGCGGCGUUGGCACUCGGAGUUUACUGCCUGGCGCAGAGGAUGGCGUGGAUGCUGCUCUCUCAACUUCUCAAGAGGCAGGCGAUCUUCCUCUUUGCGCCGCUGAUAUACGUAUGCGGGAUGCUGCUCGAUAUGGGCACCGUCUCGCUUGAUAGUGUUCCUGCGAUCAUCUGCUGACCGCCCCCUGGUUUACCGGAGUCCGCGGCUCUAUUAACGACUCUGUGCGGACAUGGACGCGAAUAACUCCUUCGACCGGCUGGUAAGUGUAUGGAAACUUGCUAGCAGAGUUGAUGGUUGGAAACCCUAUAUAAACAUGAACACAAGCGGUUUGCCUGAAUCUAAUGGUUACAUAUAUGUCGAAGCAAAUGGUGGCUUGAGUCAUAAACGCACAUUGAUAUGCAAUGCAGUGGCGAUGGCUGGGCAUAUUCCACUUUGGGGUUGAAGUUUAUGGUGUGGAGUAUGCAUUUGGGGCGCACAAUUAUCCAACGAGCGGAGUGUUUGAGGUGGAGCCUAUGCUCAACCUUCAGAUUUAGGAAGUCUAUAUUCAUGGGCACAACUUGCCUCGAUCCAAUUCAGGUCAGGGAGUUUAUGGAACAUCAUUCUGCAAACUACAGUGGUGAUAAAUAUCAUUUAGCUGUUAAGAACUGCAACUAUUUCUGCAGGGACGUCUGUUACAAAUUGACUGGAAACUCUAUUCCAAAAUGGGUGAAUGGGAUUGCGAAGAUGGUGAAUGGAUAGAUUUUGACGCGGAUAUCAUCGGUCUGGUACGUGAUGACUUCCAAGCAAAGAGGGCCAUUAUUGAGGUCACAGCAAGCUAGUUGUAGGGAUUAAUGAGCAUGGAAAAUGCUUAUUUCCAGAAAAGUAUCCUGAAUCCAUGGGAGGAAAUGUUCACGUUGCUUGUUUGGUAGAUGGAACAAAAGAAGUGGAUUCCCAUGUUGAGACAUUUGAUAGUUCGGCGGAAAGCUCAAAUUCAGAAUGUGCCAAGGGUAAGCAAUAGCGAGACCACAAAAACUUAAAUUAGAGGACUUUAUGAGGCUUCACAAUUUGAUCUGUACACCAAAUCCCAUGACAGAAUGAAACUUUAUACGAUUCCUUCCACAAAGAUAUUCCAGGACAAAAGUCUUCGUUAUUGUUUUCUUCAUGACCUUUAGCCUGUUUUUUGGCCAAUUCUGCUCCUUUACUGGCUGUUGCUAUUCACAGCAACAAUGAAGAGACAAAUACUUCACAUGAUUAAGUACAGGGUCGGUGGAGAAUAUUGAGGACAAUCAUGCAGGUUUCAUAUAUCCAUCUAUGAAUUUUAAUUUUUUAUCUAAUGCAUUUUAGAUUCUUAAAUUUAUUGUGGAAAAUAGUUCAUUUCAAUUUCUGCAAAUUUAGAGUCUUAUUUUUCUUUAGAAUUGUCGUGUCUUGGAAAAUUCAUGGUCGUAAUGUGAUAUUUUAAUCUUCUAACUCCCC